CGAGCCGGGCGGACGGCCGCGUGGAGACCCUCCGGGGAUCUUCCCGAGGAACGUCCGGGCUCCACAGGGCAGGGUGGUGGCUAACGGCCACCCGGGGUGACCCGCGGGACAGUGCCACAGAAAACAGACCGCCGGGGACCUCGGUCCUCGGUAAGGGUGAAACGGUGGUGUAAGAGACCACCAGUGCCCAGGGUGACCUGGGCAGCUAGGUAAACCCCACCCGGAGCAAGGUCAAGAGGGGACACCUCGGUGUCCCUGCGCGGACGUUUGAGGGCUGCUCGCCCGAGUCCGCGGGUAGACCGCACGAGGCCGGCGGCAACGCCGGUCCUAGAUGGAUGGCCGUCGCCCCGACGACCGCGAGGUCCCGGGGCACAGAACCCGGCGUACAGCCCGACUCGUCUG
rnacentral:RNase_P_RNA from 1 species